ensembl:lncRNA
UAACCGGUUAUCUUCCCCCAAGAGACCUACUGUUGGUCAAUCGUUUUGGCUUUAAAGGUAAAUGCAUUGUUAGUCACAAUGUCAAGUUACUGGGCCAAAAGGAAAAUAAUAUUGAAAAGAGUUGAGAGGGACAAACAGGACAUUCACUUGAAUCACUACAUGCUACAGAAGUUGCAUCGAUUCCAGAAAACCAGGAAAAUGUUGAGCCACCUGUAGACUUCAGAGCUGGUAUGUAAAAUGUAUUGCUGUGAGGCUUAAUUUGUGAUCCUGUAAUUAAACUAUACACUUUGUUAGAUUUUCACAUUUCUCCUCCAUUUCACAGAGCCAAGAGUUUGAGUACAAGUGAUGUUAUUUGUGACGUUUUUUGUCUUGGAAACUAUUGCUUCUAUUUAAGAUUAGGAAUCCUUUUAUCCAUAAUCUGUUUUUCAUUAGGGCACUUGACUUUCUGGAUAAAAGGUGUCGAGCUCGUCAAGUACUAAGCUUUACACCCCCAGCAGCAAAUUUACCCUGGCAGCAUAUUGGUGAAAACACUGGAGGUAUGUAAUACUCCAGUGUAAGACUCCAGAAUGAGAACCAAGCCCUGAGGGAAUGCAAUGCACAAGCAGCUUCAGAUGACAGCGGCUCACUUCAAGACCAGGUGAAGCAAGUAGGGACAAUGUUGAAGACGUUUGCUCUCACUGGGCAAUCAGGUGCGUUACCUGAAAGGAGCAUCUGACCGUGAAGGCAGAAAAAGGCGCCGCACAGCUGAGAGGGACCCACAGCCGACCCCUUAAACCUAGGCUGACUACUGACACCCCAGCAUCACUGAACUAGAACACUUUCUUUAUCCUGCAGUCAGAAGCCAGAAGUGCCAGACUACACUUACCAAAUCCACCCUAUUCACUGUGGAUGAUUUUUUUAUUUUUUUAUUUAAACUUUAGUAUUGGCUUAUUUCAUUCCGUCAGUGCUUAACGAUUCUAUCAUAGUUUUGUAAAUCCUAUUUCAUACAUGUUACUUGAUAUUGCACAUUAACUAGUAUCAAAAGUCUACUUUCAUUCCAUCAGUGUGCUUAACUAUUCUAUUAAUAAUAGCUUGGAAAUACUAUUUCAUACCUCUGAUACUUGAUAUUGCACAUUACCUGGUACCAAAUAUUCUACUUACUCUGUUUUUAACAUCAGCAUUUUUCAUUCCAUCACAGUGCUUAACUGUUAUUCUAUUGUUGAAUAUAGCUUGUAAAUCCUUGUGCCACAGGUCAGCAUUGCAGUUAUAAUGGUCUGUUCUACUACUGUUUUUACCUCUGUAUUUUUAUAUAAAUAUAUAUGUCAAGUUUUGUUUAUCACAGAUACAAGAGACACAGAUCUUAUUGCAGCACAGUGUGAAUCUUGUGCUCCAGGUCAGCAAUGCCAUUAUAAUGGUCUAUUCUACUCUAGAGCUUCUAAAUUAUUUCCACUUU